AACGAACGCUGGCGGCGUGCUUAACACAUGCAAGUCGAACGCGAACGGGUUCUUCGGGACCUUAGUAGAGUGGCGCACGGGUGAGUAACGCGUAAGUUAUCUACCUCGGCAUCUGGAAUAACUCAACGAAAGGUGUGCUAAUACCGGAUACGUUGAGUAAUCAAGAAAGGUGGCCUCUCUUUGAUGCUACCGGGCUGAGAUGAGCUUGCGUACCAUUAGCUAGUUGGUGGGGUAAUGGCCUACCAAGGCGACGAUGGUUAGCGGGUCUGAGAGGAUGAUCCGCCACACUGGAACUGGAACACGGACCAGACUCCUACGGGAGGCAGCAGUGAGGAAUAUUGCGCGAUGGGGGCAACCCUGACGCAGCGACGCCGCGUGGAUGAUGAAGGCCUUCGGGUCGUAAAAUCCUGUCAGGUGGAAAGAAAUGUAUAUGUGCUAAUACCAUGUAUACUUGACGGUACCACCGAAGGAAGCACCGGCUAACUCCGUGCCAGCAGCCGCAGUAACAC
rnacentral:rRNA from 1 species